rnacentral:rRNA from 1 species
UACGGAGGGGGCUAGCGUUGUUCGGAAUUACUGGGCGUAAAGCGCACGUAGGCGGCUUUACAAGUCAGGGGUGAAAGCCCGGAGCUCAACUCCAGAAUUGCCCUUGAGACUGUAUCGCUUGAACACGGGAGAGGUGAGUGGAAUUCCGAGUGUAGAGGUGAAAUUCGUAGAUAUUCGGAAGAACACCAGUGGCGAAGGCGGCUCACUGGACCGUUGUUGACGCUGAGGUGCGAAAGCGUGGGGAGCAAACAGG